GAUGAACGCUGGCGGCGUGCCUAACACAUGCAAGUCGAGCGAUUCUCUUCGGAGAAGAGCGGCGGACGGGUGAGUAACGCGUGGGUAACCUGCCCUGUACACACGGAUAACAUACCGAAAGGUAUGCUAAUACGAGAUAACAUACUUUUAUCGCAUGGUAGAAGUAUCAAAGCUCUGGCGGUACAGGAUGGACCCGCGUCUGAUUAGCUAGUUGGUAAGGUAACGGCUUACCAAGGCGACGAUCAGUAGCCGACCUGAGAGGGUGAUCGGCCACAUUGGAACUGAGACACGGUCCAAACUCCUACGGGAGGCAGCAGUGGGGAAUAUUGCACAAUGGGCGAAAGCCUGAUGCAGCAACGCCGCGUGAGCGAUGAAGGCCUUCGGGUCGUAAAGCUCUGUCCUCAAGGAAGAUAAUGACGGUACUUGAGGAGGAAGCCCCGGCUAACUACGUGCCAGCAGCCGCGGUAAUU
rnacentral:rRNA from 1 species